AUGCAUGUCUAAGUAUAAGCAAUCUAUACGGUGAAACUGCGAAUGGCUCAUUAAAUCAGUUAUCGUUUAUUUGAUAGUACCUUACUACUUGGAUAACCGUGGUAAUUCUAGAGCUAAUACAUGCUAAAAACCCCGACUUACGGAGGGGUGUAUUUAUUAGAUAAAAAACCAAUGCCCUUCGGGGCUCCUUGGUGAUUCAUAAUAACUUAACGAAUCGCAUGGCCUUGUGCCGGCGACGGUUCAUUCAAAUUUCUGCCCUAUCAACUUUCGAUUGUAAGGUCUUGGCUUACAAUGGUUUCAACGGGUAACGGAGAAUUAGGGUUCGAUUCCGGAGAGGGAGCCUGAGAAACGGCUACCACAUCCAAGGAAGGCAGCAGGCGCGCAAAUUACCCAAUCCCGACACGGGGAGGUAGUGACAAUAA
rnacentral:rRNA from 1 species